CCCCAGCCCCUCGGCGGGCUGCGGCCACCCCGGGGCGGCAGCGGGCCCCCACCCCCUCGGGCACAGGGCCCGGCCGGGAGGUGCUGUGCUGUGCCGGGCCGGGAGGUGCUGCGCCCGGCCGGCUGAGCGAGGUCCUGUGGGUGAUACAGGAACUCACGCUUCCUCUGCUGAUUACUGGAGGAGAGAUGCCUGCCAGCCCUUCCCGAGCGCGCACAUUCCCAGCAGCAGCCCCUGCCUUGCCCUUCUGCUUAGGGUGUAUUAGAAGCAUGCUGAAAUAUCUCCUACUUAUAGAGCCGAAUCAGAGCUUGAGGCUGUUACAUGCUGAAG